GCUGAAACACCGGUUCUCGUACGAUCACCGAAGUUAAGCAUCGUAGAGCCAGGUCAGUACUUAGAUGGGGACCGCUUGGGAACACCUGGUACUGUAAG
rnacentral:rRNA from 1 species